AGGGUAGAGUAUUCAACCAAAAUUUAUUGAUUUGACACAAGGGGAAGCCAAAGAAUAUUCUCAAGUAUUAGCAGUUGAGUUGUCAAUUCAACCACACCUGAAAGAUUUAGUAUCUGCAGCAAAAUAUCAGUAGCAAGGUAGUGUGAUAGUAACAGUAGCAACAGUGACAGCAGUAGCGGCAAAGUAACGUAGUAAGGACCAGUAGGAAAAACUCACACGCAUUGAAUCAGUGAUGGAUGAUUAUGUCGGAUGCUAUUCA
rnacentral:lncRNA from 1 species